CCAAUAGCGUAUAUUAAAGUUGUUGCAGUUAAAAAGCUCGUAGUUGAACUUCGGGGUUUACCCAUUGGUCAGGCUUAAUUGUCUGUACUGGUGAGAUGAAUCUCUACCUUCUGAGGAACUUUCAUGCCAUUUAUUUGGUGUGAUGGGAAAUCAGGACUGUUCCUUUGAAAAAAUUAGAGUGUUUAAAGCAGGCUAACGUCUGAAUACAUUAGCAUGGAAUAAUGAAAUAGGACGGACUGAUUCUAUUUCGUUGGUUUCUAGGAUCACCGUAAUGAUUAAUAGGAAUAGUUGGGGGCAUUAGUAUUCAAUUGUCAGAGGUGAAAUUCUUGGAUUUAUUGAAGACUAACUACUGCGAAAGCAUUUGCCAAGGAUGUUUUCAUUAAUCAAGAACGAAAGUUAGGGGAUCGAAGACGAUCAGAUACCGUCGUAGUCUUAACCAUAAACUAUGCCGACUAGGGAUCGGACGAAGUUAAUUUUAUAAUGACGCGUUCGGCACCUUACG
rnacentral:rRNA from 1 species